GAUGAACGCUGGCGGCGUGCCUAAUACAUGCAAGUCGAGCGAACAGACGAGGAGCUUGCUCCUCUGACGUUAGCGGCGGACGGGUGAGUAACACGUGGAUAACCUACCUAUAAGACUGGGAUAACUUCGGGAAACCGGAGCUAAUACCGGAUAAUAUAUUGAACCGCAUGGUUCAAUAGUGAAAGACGGUUUUGCUGUCACUUAUAGAUGGAUCCGCGCCGCAUUAGCUAGUUGGUAAGGUAACGGCUUACCAAGGCAACGAUGCGUAGCCGACCUGAGAGGGGGAUCGGCCACACGGGAACUGAGACACGGACCAGACUCCUACGGGAGGCAGCAGUAGGGAAUCUUCCGCAAUGGGCGAAAGCUUGACGGAGCAACGCCGCGUGAGUGAUGAAGGUCUUCGGAUCGUAAAACUCUGUUAUUAGGGAAGAACAAAUGUGUAAGUAACUAUGCACGGCUUGACGGUACCUAAUCAGAAAGCCACGGCUAACUACGUG
rnacentral:rRNA from 1 species